UGCCAUCCACCUGGUUCUACAGGAACUACUGUAGAUUUCAGUCUGCUUAGAAACUGCUUACGUUCCCUCCUAAUCUGCUGCCGGCUGACAGCAUUAUUUCCAGCCAAUACGUUUAUCUUUUUCAGCAAAGGCAGACUAAAAGCUCAAAAGGAAGCCUUGUGUUUGGACUAAUUUCCAUAAAUUAAAAGUGUCCUUUUAAAAGAUUUUUGAGCAGAGGAAAAUCCCCAGUCUGUAUUUUUCUGUCAUUUUACCAAAACGUACCUGGGUGACAAGGUUAAAGCAAGCAGAGGAAAUCCCUGGCACUUAUCAUCCACAGGCAUUACUGAUAAAUUGUGUGGUGGAGGAAUAAAGGAUUACCUUCUGUAUUUUUUCAUUACACUUUUCUUUUGUUACAGAAUACAUAAAUCCAUUGUGGCACAAUGUAAUAUGUAUCACCAUGCUACACCUGCGGACGCUUCCGAGCGGCUGCCAUGUCUGUGCAGUCAGGAAUGAUAAGUGAACCACCCGUGAAUGUUAACGAUAGUGAUCAUUCUGAGACCACAAGGCAAUAGCAUAUAACAGAAGGAAAGGCUUCAAGCUAAUGACACCCUUUAAUAAAGGUCUGGUCACUUGGGGUAUACUGUGGAUUUAUCAUCAAGAAGAAAAAGUUUGCUGAGCUAGAAGCGGUGGCUGAAGCCUAU
rnacentral:lncRNA from 1 species